AUGCAUGAAAAGGAAGGUGGAGCAGCUAGAGAGCAAAGAACCAUGCAAGCAUUUAGAGAUGCUCUAUCUGAUUGUGAACUUGAAGAUAUGGGAGCGACGGGAGACGUCUAUACGUGGAGUAGAGGAGCGAUCAAGGAGAGGUUGGAUAGAGCAGUAUGCAACUCAAGAUGGAGGCAACUCUUCCCUAAUGCAGGGGUCAUCAACGGUGAAAUGACCAAGUCUGACCAGAGGCGUUUGGUGAUUAACACUGAAUUAUAUGUAGAGGUGAUUCGGUCUCCUUUUUCAAUGAAGAGAUUUGAGGGGAGAUGGCUCAAGGAGGAAACAGUCGAGGAGGUGGUACGAACGGCUUGGAUGAAAGCGUCGUUGUUAGGCCUUGGACCAUUCAAACAAAAAUUAGACUCAGUCCAUAAUGAUCUGCAUAAGUGGGACAAAGAAGUACUAAAAAGGCCACAGAAGAGAAUGGCGAAACUGAAGAAGGAGUUAGAGAAUCUGAGAACAUGGCCAGCUAUGGACGCAGCGAUUGAUAGACAAAAAGAAAUACUUUUAACUAUUGAAAACUAG
rnacentral:rRNA from 1 species